CUUGAACGCUGGCGGCAGGCCUAACACAUGCAAGUCGAGCGGAGCGGCGGACGGGUGAGUAAUGCCUAGGAAUCUGCCUGGUAGUGGGGGAUAACGUCCGGAAACGGGCGCUAAUACCGCAUACUAUAAGACGAGCCUAGGUCGGAUUAGCUAGUUGGUGGGGUAAAGGCCUACCAAGGCGACGAUCCGGAACUGGUCUGAGAGGGGGAUCAGUCCAACGGGAACUGAGAAACGGUCCAGACUCCUCGGGGAGGCAGCAGUGGGGAAUAUUGGACAAUGGGCGAAAGCCUGAUCCAGCCAUGCCGCGUGUGUGAAGAAGGUCUUCGGAUUGUAAAGCACUUUAAGUUGGGAGGCGUUACCAACAGAAUAAGCACCGGCUAACUUCGUGCCAGCAGCCGCGGUAAUUC
rnacentral:rRNA from 1 species